UUCGCCUCCUCGUGGUGCACCCUGGAUAACGCUAAAUGAACUAGCAAAUACUGGUAGUUAGAUAAUCUUAGGUUCUUCGACCAUAAGACUCAUUUCGCAUAGUUUCUCUUUUCUUUAAGAGAUAUGCUGUCAAACAAGGGUUGUCUGUCUUUUACUCUUUAUUAUUUUUCUUCUAUAUUGAUUGUACUUCUAAAACUCUUCCCUUAUGUGUAUUAUUGUUUAUUUUACUCCUAUUCUUCUAAGACUGCCAAGGCUUUGAUUUCAUUUCCAUUUCUAUUGAUGCCUACAUGAAAUUGUAUUGUUUUGGGUUAAUUUUUAAUUUUUUUUUAGUCGAUUUCUGAGUCCUUUUAAAAUUGAGUUUGUGAAUGGGGUAUUGUACUGCCUUGGAAAAUGGAUUUUAUGAGACAGCUGCAUUCAAUUCAACCAUCCUCUUCACGAUUUCAUUAGGUGGACUAAAUUCAAAAUUCAACAGUGGAAUGGGAUGAAAUUCAUCAUCGAAGAGGAACUAAAUAAUUUUAGAUUUUGUACAACAAAUCGAUGGAUGUAUACAGUUCCAAGGCGGUACAUUGAUCCUUUUCACGAAUAUUACCUACAAUGCAUCAGAACUAAUAAGUAUAUCUAAAAUAUUAUUUCUUUUGGGUAAAUAUAUUUAUAUGGUUUUUAAUGUUCUUCAGUGGAUUUCAUGAUUUCCUAAAUUUAACUAAGUAGGAAAAAAUUCUAUUGAGUGUCUGAGUUACAUUUUCUGGUUCUUUAUUAUCAUAGAAAAAUUCAGAUCAUCUAUUUUUAGUUUGGUCAAUUUUUGGCUUUUGGUCAUUUUUUUUUUCUUUUUAAUAUAAUAGCAUCGACUUUGAACUUUACUUGAUGUCAUACAGCAAGAUGGUUUUUUUUAUUUUUGUGAUUGUUGUUUUUUUUUAUUUUACUCCAUUUCUCUAUAAUAGCUGCUGGGCUAUAUUUUUUUGAUUGUAGAAUUUUUUCUAUAAUAGCUUGACUCCUAUGUUUUCUUCAUUGUGGGUAUAAUAACAUAUCAUUCUUUGAUUCUUUAAAAUAUUUCACUGAGUGCAUUUGUAUAAGUUUUCUUUUAUUUGUAUUACUUUUCUUAUUGUGUCAUUCUUCUAACACAUUUUUGCUUAUCUAAUUCCUUGUACAAUUUUUUAGUUUUGAUGGAUUCAUUUUCAUGUCAUUUUUCUCAGACCAUAUGCCACGAAUUCCUAUAAUUUUACCAAUUCUGUUGGUUUGGUUUCCCCAUGUUAAAUAUAAUUUAAACACACUUAAAAAUCUAAGAAUUUCCGACCAAUUCCUGGCGCAUUCGCCAUUUAUUUAAAACCUGACUAGUCCAGAGGAUAUCAUUUUUCCAAUUAAUUUUCCUCACAGUAACAUCGACUCCAGAGCAUCAUAACUAGCCUCCCCUAAGAGGAGGAGACCUGGGUCACCCCCUAACCCUGAUGUUCGGGCAUCGAUGACCUAUGUAGCAUGCAUAGGUACCCAAGGGAGUCACCACCCUCUGGUUUACGAGCUAGGUGUUCUAAC